rnacentral:rRNA from 1 species
GAUGAACGCUGGCGGCGUGCUUAACACAUGCAAGUCGAACGGAAAGGCCAGUGCUUGCACUGGUACUCGAGUGGCGAAUGGGUGAGUAACACGUGGGUGAUCUGCCCUGCACUUCGGGAUAAGCCUGGGAAACUGGGUCUAAUACCGGAUAGGACAAUGGUUUGGAUGCCGUUGUGGAAAGUUUUUUCGGUGUGGGAUGAGCUCGCGGCCUAUCAGCUUGUUGGUGGGGUAAUGGCCUACCAAGGCGUCGACGGGUAGCCGGCCUGAGAGGGUGUACGGCCACAUUGGGACUGAGAUACGGCCCAGACUCCUACGGGAGGCAGCAGUGGGGAAUAUUGCACAAUGGGCGCAAGCCUGAUGCAGCGACGCCGCGUGGGGGAUGACGGCCUUCGGGUUGUAAACUCCUUUCGCUAGGGACGAAGCGUAUUUGUGACGGUACCUGGAGAAGAAGCACCGGCUAACUACGUG